AGAUGAAUAUUGAGACAAAAUUUGACCUAAAAUUGCUACACCGAAGCGUCUUUGAAUAUCUUCUGGAGAAAGGUUUAUGAUUUAUUGUUCACACAAAUCAAAAGAGAUUCACACUGUUUGAAAGUUUGAGGCAGGAUAAGUCUACAAAUUAUGUAAUGAUCAAUUCAGUCUUUAAUUAACUAUACAUUGUUAUGUCCAUAAUGUGAGAUAUUUAUCAUAAACUAAAAUUUCUAUAACCAUUAUUUAUUUGGUGAUAAGGACAUGGUACAAUAGUAUUUA